GUGCUCUCUUUGGCAGCCUACAUACUGAAAUUGGAAUGAUGCAAGGAAAAUUACCAUGGCCCUAGCAAAAAUGAAUCACAAAUUCAUGAAACACUCAACAUUUUU